UCCGUGGCUCAAGAACGAACGCUGGCGGCGCGCCUAAUACAUGCAAGUCGAGCGAGAAGGUGUAGCAAUACACUUGUAAAGCGGGCGAACGGGUGAGGAAUGCAUGGGUAACCUACCCUCGAGUGGGGAAUAACUAGCCGAAAGGUUAGCUAAUACCGCAUACGUUUCCGGAACUUCGGUUUCGGAAAGAAAGCAAUACCGUGGGUAUUGCGCUCCUGGAUGGGCUCAUGUCCUAUCAGCUUGUUGGUGAGGUAACGGCUCACCAAGGCUUCGACGGGUAGCUGGUCUGAGAGGACGAUCAGCCACACUGGCACUGCGACACGGGCCAGACUCCUACGGGAGGCAGCAGUAAGGAAUAUUGCGCAAUGGACGAAAGUCUGACGCAGCGACGCCGCGUGGGGGAUGAAGGUCUUCGGAUUGUAAACCCCUUUCGGGAGGGAAGAUGGAGUGGGUAACCACUUGGACGGUACCUCCAGAAGCAGCCACGGCUAACUUCGUG
rnacentral:rRNA from 1 species